rnacentral:rRNA from 1 species
GACGAACGCUGGCGGCGUGCCUAAUACAUGCAAGUAGAACGCUGAAGGAGGAGCUUACUUCUCUGGAUGAGUUGCGAACGGGUGAGUAACGCGUAGGUAACCUGCCUGGUAGCGGGGGAUAACUAUUGGAAACGAUAGCUAAUACCGCAUAAGAGUAGAUGUUGCAUGACAUUUACUUAAAAGGUGCAAUUGCACCACUACCAGAUGGACCUGCGUUGUAUUAGCUAGUUGGUGGGGUAACGGCUUACCAAGGCGACGAUACAUAGCCGACCUGAGAGGGUGAUCGGCCACACUGGGACUGAGACACGGCCCAGACUCCUACGGGAGGCAGCAGUAGGGAAUCUUCGGCAAUGGACGGAAGUCUGACCGAGCAACGCCGCGUGAGUGGAGAAGGUUUUCGGAUCGUAAAGCUCUGUUGUAAGAGAAGAACGAGUGUGAGAAUGGAAAGUUCACACUGUGACGGUAUCUUACCAGAAAGGGACGGCUAACUACGUGCCAGCCGCCGCAGUAA